rnacentral:lncRNA from 1 species
CUUGUUCCUUUCCUUUCUACUCAUUUCUUUCCCCCUACUUCAGCAAUCUCCUUUAAACCUUAUUCCUCAAAAUUCUUCAGUUAUGUGUCAGAACACAUGUUGGAGUUAUAGAAGAUUUGGGGCUACUUCUGUGACUCUCCAAAUAAUCCAUUCUUUAAGGAUAAAUUAAUAACUUCAAAAUCAUGUGAUCCUAAGGCCAAUAAAAGUAUUCCGAAAGCCUUACUCUCAUCCAGAUGUAGGAACUUGUAGAUUUGGAAAAUAAUUUA